UCAGUUGUGAAAGUUUGCGGCUCAACCGUAAAAUUGCAGUUGAUACUGGAUAUCUUGAGUGCAGUUGAGGCAGGCGGAAUUCGUGGUGUAGCGGUGAAAUGCUUAGAUAUCACGAAGAACUCCGAUUGCGAAGGCAGCCUGCCAAGCUGCAACUGACAUUGAGGCUCGAAAGUGUGGGUAUCAAACAGGAUUAGAUACCCUGGUAGUCCACACGGUAAACGAUGAAUACUCGCUGUUUGCGAUAUACUGCAAGCGGCCAAGCGAAAGCGUUAAGUAUUCCACCUGGGGAGUACGCCGGCAACGGUGAAACUCAAAGGAAUUGACGGGGGCCCGCACAAGCGGAGGAACAUGUGGUUUAAUUCGAUGAUACGCGAGGAACCUUACCCGGGCUUAAAUUGCAGAUGAAUUACGGUGAAAGCCGUAAGCCGCAAGGCAUCUGUGAAGGUGCUGCAUGGUUGUCGUCAGCUCGUGCCGUGAGGUGUCGGCUUAAG
rnacentral:rRNA from 1 species